rnacentral:rRNA from 1 species
CCUACGAGUGGCAGCAGUGGGGAAUAUUGGACAAUGGGCGAAAGCCUGAUCCAGCCAUGCCGCGUGUGUGAAGAAGGCCUUCGGGUUGUAAAGCACUUUCAGUGGGGAAGAAAGCCUUGGGGCUAAUACCCUCGAGGAAGGACAUCACCCACAGAAGAAGCACCGGCUAACUCCGUGCCAGCAGCCGCGGUAAUACGGAGGGUGCGAGCGUUAAUCGGAAUUACUGGGCGUAAAGCGCGCGUAGGCGGUCUGAUAAGCCGGUUGUGAAAGCCCCGGGCUCAACCUGGGAACGGCAUCCGGAACUGUCAGGCUAGAGUGCAGGAGAGGAAGGUAGAAUUCCCGGUGUAGCGGUGAAAUGCGUAGAGAUCGGGAGGAAUACCAGUGGCGAAGGCGGCCUUCUGGACUGACACUGACGCUGAGGUGCGAAAGCGUGGGUAGCAAACAGGAUUAGAUACCCCGGUAGUC